AUUGGGAGGCCACGCCCCUUCCAGGAAAAAAAAAAAAAGCAACAACAACAACACUCCGGUACUGCCGCGAAAUGGAAUGGAUGAAAAGCUUUACCUGGCAUAGAUGGACGCGCAGCAUCGAUUUCUGGGACUGAACAGACGCCUGGGCAUCUACAGCACUGACGGCUCAGUGUCCCUCAUCUACCUGAUGACUGGCAUCUUUGUGUGGCAUAGUGAUCUGCGUGGCCUAAACUGUGGGGCGGUGUUGCAGAUUCCUGGUUCUUCCCAUCCUCCCUGAAAAUGCUCAACUUUCCUUCAGUAAUUUUGCCUGGAAUUUGAAGCCCGUUGAACCUCAUUUCGCCUCAAAAUACUGGAUCCUGCACUUCAGCUCUAAGCCCUCAUGAUGAAUUCAUGCAGUUGAAACCCUUCUUUGCUGUUACUGUGGUUGUGAUGAAGCCUCAAACACACAGCCGUGAGUGGACGCGGAGUCUGCUGUGGGACAAUCCUGCAGACAACCUCACAGGUGGAG